rnacentral:rRNA from 1 species
UGGGGAAUUUUGCGCAAUGGGGGAAACCCUGACGCAGCGACGCCGCGUGGAGGAUGAAGGCCCUCGGGUUGUAAACUCCUUUUGUAGGGGACAAUAAUGAUGGUACCCUAUGAAUAAGCCACGGCUAACUCUGUGCCAGCAGCCGCGGUAAGACAGAGGUGGCAAGCGUUGUUCGGAAUUACUGGGCUUAAAGGGCGCGUAGGUGGUGGUGUAAGUCCGGGGUGGAAGGCUGAGGCUUAACCUUAGGAUUGCCUUGGAAACUAUAUCACUUGAGUCAGCGAGGGGGAUGGCGGAAUUCCUGGUGUAGCGGUGAAAUGCGUAGAUAUCAGGAGGAAGGCCGGUGGCGAAGGCGGCCAUCUGGCGCUGAACUGACACUGAGGCGCGAAAGCGUGGGGAGCAAACAGGAUUAGAUACCCUGGUAGUCCACGCCCUAAACGGUGGAUACUAGGUGUAGGGCUCGUAAGGGUUCUGUGCCG